rnacentral:rRNA from 1 species
AAGCAGAGGGGGCUUAGUGGUGGGGUGACUGCGUACCUUUUGUAUAAUGGGUCAGCGACUUAUAUUCUGUAGCAAGGUUAACCGAAUAGGGGAGCCGGAGGGAAACCGAGUCUUAACCGGGCGUUAAGUUGCAGGGUAUAGACCCGAAACCCGGUGAUCUAGCCAUGGGCAGGUUGAAGGUUGGGUAACACUAACUGGAGGACCGAACCGACUAAUGUUGAAAAAUUAGCGGAUGACCUGUGGCUGGGGGUGAAAGGCCAAUCAAACCGGGAGAUAGCUGGUUCUCCCCGAAAGCUAUUUAGGUAGCGCCUCGUGAAUUCAUCUCCGGGGGUAGAGCACUGUUUCGGCUAGGGGGGCAUCCCGACUUACCAACCCGAUGCAAACUGCGAAUACCGGAGAAUGUUAUCACGGGAGACACACGGCGGGUGCUAACGUCCGUCGUGAAGAGGGAAACAACCCAGACCGCCAGCUAAGGUCCCAAAGUCAUGGUUAAGUGGGAAACGAUGUGGGAAGGCCCAGACAGCCAGGAUGUUGGCUUAGAAGCAGCCAUCAUUUAAAGAAAGCGUAAUAGCUCACUGGUCGAGUCGGCCUGCGCGGAAGAUGUAACGGGGCUAAACCAUGCACCGAAGCUGCGGCAGCGACACUAUGUGUUGUUGGGUAGGGGAGCGUUCUGUAAGCCUGCGAAGGUGUCUCGUGAGGGAUGCUGGAGGUAUCAGAAGUGCGAAUGCUGACAUAAGUAACGAUAAUGCGGGUGAAAAACCCGCACGCCGGAAGACCAAGGGUUCCUGUCCAACGUUAAUCGGGGCAGGGUGAGUCGACCCCUAAGGCGAGGCCGAAAGGCGUAGUCGAUGGGAAACAGGUUAAUAUUCCUGUACUUGGUGUUACUGCGAAGGGGGGACGGAGAAGGCUAUGUUAGCCGGGCGACGGUUGUCCCGGUUUAAGCAUGUAGGCGGAGGUUCCAGGUAAAUCCGGUACCUUAUUAACGCUGAGGUGUGAUGACGAGGCACUACGGUGCUGAAGUAACAAAUGCCCUGCUUCCAGGAAAAGCCUCUAAGCAUCAGGUAACAUCAAAUCGUACCCCAAACCGACACAGGUGGUCAGGUAGAGAAUACCAAGGCGCUUGAGAGAACUCGGGUGAAGGAACUAGGCAAAAUGGUGCCGUAACUUCGGGAGAAGGCACGCUGAUAUGUAGGUGAAGUGGUUUACCCAUGGAGCUGAAAUCAGUCGAAGAUACCAGCUGGCUGCAACUGUUUAUUAAAAACACAGCACUGUGCAAACACGAAAGUGGACGUAUACGGUGUGACGCCUGCCCGGUGCCGGAAGGUUAAUUGAUGGGGUUAUCCGUAAGGAGAAGCUC